UCCAGACUCCUACGGGAGGCAGCAGUGGGGGAUAUUGCACAAUGGGGGGAACCCUGAUGCAGCGACGCCGCGUGGGUGAAGGAGCGUUUCGGCGCGUAAAGCCCUAUCGGCAGGGAAGAAGGAGGACGGUACCUGACUAAGAAGCCCCGGCUAACUACGUGCCAGCAGCCGCGGUAAUACGUAGGGGGCAAGCGUUAUCCGGAUUUACUGGGUGUAAAGGGGGCGCAGACGGCAGCGCAAGCCAGGAGUGAAAGCCCGGGGCCCAACCCCGGGACUGCUCUUGGAACUGCGCGGCUGGAGUGCAGGAGGGGCAGGUGGAAUUCCUGGUGUAGCGGUGAAAUGCGUAGAUAUCAGGAGGAACACCGGUGGCGAAGGCGGCCUGCUGGACUGCGACUGACGUUGAGGCCCGAAAGCGUGGGGAGCAAACAGGAUUAGAUACCCCAGUA
rnacentral:rRNA from 1 species